AGUUCGGAUUAUGGCUCAGAUUGAACGCUGGCGGAUGCUUUACACAUGCAAGUCGAACGGCAGCACGGACUUCGGUCUGGUGGCGAGUGGCGAACGGGUGAGUAAUGUAUCGGAACGUGCUCUAGUAGCGGGGAUAACUACGCGAAAGCGUAGCUAAUACCGCAUACGCCCUUCGGGAAAGCGGGGGGACCCGGCCUCUCGCACUAUUAGAGCGCCGGAUACCGGAUUAGCUAGUUGGUGGGGUAACGGCUCACCAAGGCGACGAUCCGUAGCUGGUUUGAGAGGACGACCAGCCACACUGGGACUGAGACACGGCCCAGACUCCUACGGGAGGCAGCAGGGGAAUUUUGACAAUGGGGAAACCCUGAUCCAGCCAUCCCGCGUGUGCGAUAGCUCGGGUUGUAAAGCACUUUGGCAGGAAGAAACGGCAUCGGAUAAUACCCCGUGCAACUGACGGUACCUGCAGAAUAAGCACCGCUAACCACGUGCCAGCAGCCGCGGUAAUACGUAGGGUGCAAGCGUUAAUCGGAAUUACUGGGCGUAGCGCGGCGGUUCGGAAAGAAAGAUGUGAAAUCCCAGAGCUUAACUUUGGGAACUGCAUUUUUAACUACCGAGCUAGGAGUGUGUCAGAGGGAGGUGGAAUUCCGCGUGUAGCAGUGAAAUGCGUAGAUAUGCGGAGGAACAACUGAGCUUGGCGAAGGCAGCCUCUGGGAUAACACUGACGCUCAUGCACGAAAGCGUGGGGAGCAAACAGGAUUAGAUACCCGGUAGUCCACGCCCUAAACGAUGUCAACUAGCUGCUGGGGCCUUCUGGCCUGGUAGCGCAGCUAACGUGAAGUUAACGCCUGGGAGUACGGUCGCAAGAUUAAAAAACUCAAAGGAAUUGACGGGGACCCGCACAAGCGGUGGAUGAUGGGACACCUGAUGCAACGCGAAAAACCUUACCUACCCUGGAUAUGUCUGGAAUCCCGAAGAGAUUUGGGGAGUGCUCGCAAGAGAACCGGAACACAGGUGCUGCAUGGCUGUCGUCAGCUCGUGUCGUGAGAUGCUGGGUUAAGUCCUGGCAAACGAGCGCAACUCCUUGUCAUUAUUGCUACGAAAGGGCACUCGAAUGAGACUGCCGGUGACAAACCGGAGGAAGGUGAUGACGUCGGUGCCCGUUGGCCCUUAUGGGGUAGGGCUUCACACGUCAUACAAUGGUCGGGACAGAGUGGUCGCCAACCCGCGAGGGGGAGCUAAUCCUGGUGAAACCCGAUCGUAGUCCGAUCGCAGUCUGCAACUCGACUGCGUGAAGUCGGAAUCGCUAGUAAUCGCGGAUCAGCAUGUCGCGGUGAAUACGUUCCCGGGUCUUGUACACACCGCCCGUCACACCAUGGGAGUGGGUUUUACCAGAAGUAGUUACUCAACUGCAAGGAGGGCGAUUACCACGGUAGGAUUCAUGACUGGGGUGAAGUCGUAACAAGGUAG
rnacentral:rRNA from 1 species